UACGAAGGGAGCUAGCGUUGUUCGGAAUCACUGGGCGUAAAGCGCACGUAGGCGGAUGUGUCAGUCAGGGGUGAAAUCCCGGAGCUCAACUUCGGAACUGCCUUUGAUACAGCACGUCUUGAGUCCGGAAGAGGUGGGUGGAAUUCCUAGUGUAGAGGUGAAAUUCGUAGAUACUAGGAAGAACACCGGUGGCGAAGGCGGCCCACUGGUCCGGUACUGACGCUGAGGUGCGAAAGCGUGGGGAGCAAACAGG
rnacentral:rRNA from 1 species